UCCGAGCGUUGUCCGGAAUCAUUGGGCGUAAAGGGUACGUAGGCGGAUAAGCAAGUUAGAAGUGAAAUCCUAUAGCUCAACUAUAGUAAGCUUUUAAAACUGCUCAUCUUGAGGUAUGGAAGGGAAAGUGGAAUUCCUAGUGUAGCGGUGAAAUGCGCAGAUAUUAGGAGGAAUACCGGUGGCGAAGGCGACUUUCUGGCCAUAAACUGACGCUGAGGUACGAAAGCGUGGGUAGCAAACAGGAUUAGAUACCCUGGUAGUCAAGGGCG
rnacentral:rRNA from 1 species